CAUAGCGACUAUCGUGGCAUAUCAAUAAGCGGAGGAAAAGAAACUAACAAGGAUUCCCUUAGUAACGGCGAGUGAAGCGGGAAGAGCUCAAAUUUGAAAUCUUCAAGGGUUUACCUUUACGAAUUGUAGUUUAAAGAAGUGUUUUCUGUUGGAAGUUUUGGUAAAAGGUUCUUUGGAAUAGGACAUCAUAGAGGGUGAGAAUCCCGUAUUUGACCAUUAUUUUCAACUGUGUGAUAGCACUUUCAAAGAGUCGGAUUGUUUGGGAAUGCAGUCCAAAAUGGGUGGUAAAUUUCAUCUAAAGCUAAAUAUUGGCGAGAGACCGAUAGCGAACAAGUACCGUGAGGGAAAGAUGAAAAGAACUUUGAAAAGAGAGUUAAACAGUACGUGAAAUUGUCAAAAGGGAAGCGUUUGACACCAGUGUUGUUUUCUCGAAAAUCAAUUAAAAAAGGCCGGAUUUUGUGUUGUAUUGACCUUAAAAGCUUUCUUCACUCUUUUCUUGUCUUUUUUAAUGCACUUUUCGUUUAACAAGUCAACAUCAGUUUCUUUUGUUGUAAAAGGGUCAUUGGAAGGUGGCUUUCUUUUCGGAGAAAGUGUUUAUAGCCUUUGAUCUCUGCAACCGGAGAGACUGAGGUCUGCAGCGUAGACUCUUCGGGGUUAGAUACAUUUGUGCUAAGCUAUAGCUUUUUAUAGACAACUUGUUGACUAUAUUUAGUCUUGUGGCUUACUCGCUUAUGCUAUUUUACCUACGCUUAGGAUGUUGAUAUGCAUGACUGAUAU
rnacentral:rRNA from 1 species